rnacentral:rRNA from 1 species
AUUGAACGCUGGCGGCAUGCCUUACACAUGCAAGUCGAACGGUAACAGGUCUUCGGAUGCUGGCGAGUGGCGAACGGGUGAGUAAUACAUCGGAACGUGCCUAGUAGUGGGGGAUAACUACUCGAAAGAGUGGCUAAUACCGCAUGAGAUCUACGGAUGAAAGCAGGGGAUCGCAAGACCUUGUGCUACUAGAGCGGCCGAUGGCAGAUUAGGUCGUUGGUGGGAUAAAAGCUUACCAAGCCGACGAUCUGUAGCUGGUCUGAGAGGACGAUCAGCCACACUGGGACUGAGAAACGGCCCAGACUCCUACGGGAGGCAGCAGUGGGGAAUUUUGGACAAUGGGCGCAAGCCUGAUCCAGCAAUGCCGCGUGCAGGAUGAAGGCCUUCGGGUUGUAAACUGCUUUUGUACGGAACGAAAAGCCCCGGGUUAAUACCCUGGGGUCAUGACGGUACCGUAAGAAUAAGCACCGGCUAACUACGUGCCAGCCGCCGCGGUAA